GGGGAUCAGUCCUGUCUUGCUGUUGAGGGUCCCUUCCAGCCAGCCGGGCUCCUGCGACGGGUGCACUGCGGAGACAGGCCAAGGGCAGGGGCCAUCGCUGACCAGAGGCUGGCACAGAGCAAAGGUGGCAGCAAGUGCUGGCAGUGACCCACUGGCCCCGCUCUGCCAAAGCCAUCCAAGGGCAGCUGCAACCACAAGGAGAAUUCCACAAGGAAGAAUUAGCAUUUAGGGAAGGUUAUUUCAAAACAGAAAGACAAGCAGGUCCAUGAAGAAUUUGCAGCACUUCUUUAGAGCCUGUACCUGAAGCAACAAACAGCAACCCAGAGACACAGAGACGACAGCCGACGACAGCGAGUGCCUUGGGAAUAUUCCCAGCAUGAGACACAGCUACAAAAUGAAGUGCCAAGACCUUGGGAAGUGUUUCAAGGCUUGGGUCUGCGUUUGUGUGGACAACAAGAGCUGGAUCUUCCAGUCAACCCCCGCUCCACUGCCCCACUGUCGCACCUGGCCCCCCGUGUGCCGCGGGUCUGUGCUGCAGCACGGCCACUUACCUGCCUCGUGCUUCCCCCAGAGCUCCCAGAAAUAGUGCUGCUGUUUCUGGAUGUUAAUGGUGCCCGUGAGCAGCCUCCACCCCCUCGGUCUGUCACUUGUGGUGCUCAUACAUCCAGUGUAUAAAAAUGUCAUUAUUUUGUUUCCCAUGUUUCACAUCCCUUUUUCCCCUUGUGCUGAUUCCUGAAGCCACAGCUGUCAACUGGAGCUGAAUCAAGUUACUGAACUGGUGACUGCACAUGGAAGUUUUUGGGUCCUUCCAAACUGUUCAAUUCUCAAGUUCACCAAAAAGCAAUUAUUGUACUAAAAUACCGGUUUGAUUAAUUUACUGCUUCUCUGCUUAGCGCUCAUUGGUAUUCCCUACCCAAUUCAGAUUAGAAACUCCAUCCCUGAUAAAACACCAGAAAUCUCUCUCCACACUGCAAAUGCCUCUGUAAAAACAAGAAGUUUUGUAGAAGCA